UGUCUAUCUAUUUAUUGCAGGUUAUAUCAGGGAUUGAAAGUGCUGUGAGAUCGAUGAAAGUAGGCAGCCUUCGUCGAGUUAUUAUACCACCAUCUCAAGGAUAUCAGAAUGCAUCCCAAGAACCCCUGCCACCUAAUUAUUUUGAUCGGCAGAGGCUUUUUACUACCAUUUUUAAUCCAACCCGUCUUGCAAAUGGAGAAGGCGCGACAUUGGGGACAGUCAUAUUUGAUAUCGAACUGGUCAGCCUGAGGCAUCUUUGAUCUGCAGGCAUUUUUCUCCUCUUAACUGGAGUACGGAGCAAUUGUUGUCAGUUCGAUGACGAUGAAAGAUGAUGAAAUAGUUUCUGGCUAAUGCUUGGGUGUUAAAGAAGCCUCGGUGAAAAGUUUGGUCAUCUGAUGUGUAAAGGAAAAAUGACACUGUAUAGCCGCUCUCAAAAUAAUAGCCGAAAAAAUAUAUAUUUUUAGUAUAUUUUUUGGGUGUGUGUUGUGUGUGUGUGUGUG